rnacentral:rRNA from 1 species
AGCUACAGGCUUAACACAUGCAAGUCGAGGGGCAGCAUGGUCUUAGCUUGCUAAGACUGAUGGCGACCGGCGCACGGGUGAGUAACACGUAUCCAACCUGCCGUCUACUCUUGGACAGCCUUCUGAAAGGAAGAUUAAUACAAGAUGGCAUCAUGAGUCCGCAUGUUCACAUGAUUAAAGGUAUUCCGGUAGACGAUGGGGAUGCGUUCCAUUAGAUAGUAGGCGGGGUAACGGCCCACCUAGUCUUCGAUGGAUAGGGGUUCUGAGAGGAAGGUCCCCCACAUUGGAACUGAGACACGGUCCAAACUCCUACGGGAGGCAGCAGUGAGGAAUAUUGGUCAAUGGGCGAGAGCCUGAACCAGCCAAGUAGCGUGAAGGAUGACUGCCCUAUGGGUUGUAAACUUCUUUUAUAAAGGAAUAAAGUCGGGUAUGGAUACCCGUUUGCAUGUACUUUAUGAAUAAGGAUCGGCUAACUCCGUGCCAGCAGCCGCGGUAAUACGGAGGAUCCGAGCGUUAUCCGGAUUUAUUGGGUUUAAAGGGAGCGUAGAUGGAUGUUUAAGUCAGUUGUGAAAGUUUGCGGCUCAACCGUAAAAUUGCAGUUGAUACUGGAUAUCUUGAGUGCAGUUGAGGCAGGCGGAAUUCGUGGUGUAGCGGUGAAAUGCUUAGAUAUCACGAAGAACUCCGAUUGCGAAGGCAGCCUGCUAAGCUGCAACUGACAUUGAGGCUCGAAAGUGUGGGUAUCAAACAGGAUUAGAUACCCUGGUAGUCCACACGGUAAACGAUGAAUACUCGCUGUUUGCGAUAUACGGCAAGCGGCCAAGCGAAAGCGUUAAGUAUUCCACCUGGGGAGUACGCCGGCAACGGUGAAACUCAAAGGAAUUGACGGGGGCCCGCACAAGCGGAGGAACAUGUGGUUUAAUUCGAUGAUACGCGAGGAACCUUACCCGGGCUUAAAUUGCAGAUGAAUUACGGUGAAAGCCGUAAGCCGCAAGGCAUCUGUGAAGGUGCUGCAUGGUUGUCGUCAGCUCGUGCCGUGAGGUGUCGGCUUAAGUGCCAUAACGAGCGCAACCCUUGUUGUCAGUUACUAACAGGUUCCGCUGAGGACUCUGACAAGACUGCCAUCGUAAGAUGUGAGGAAGGUGGGGAUGACGUCAAAUCAGCACGGCCCUUACGUCCGGGGCUACACACGUGUUACAAUGGGGGGUACAGAGGGCCGCUACCACGCGAGUGGAUGCCAAUCCCAAAAACCUCUCUCAGUUCGGACUGGAGUCUGCAACCCGACUCCACGAAGCUGGAUUCGCUAGUAAUCGCGCAUCAGCCACGGCGCGGUGAAUACGUUCCCGGGCCUUGUACACACCGCCCGUCAAGCCAUGGGAGCCGGGGGUACCUGAAGUGCGUAACCGCGAGGAGCGCCCUAGGGUAAAACUGGUGACUGGGGCU